AACGUAGGAGACAAACGUUAUCCGGAGUUACUGGGCGUAAAGGGCGUGUAGGCGGUUAGUUAAGUCUGGCGUGAAAGCUCUCGGCUAAACCGGGAGAGGUCGUUGGAUACUGGCAAACUAGAGGAUGGUAGAGGCGUGUGGAAUUCCGGGUGUAGUGGUGAAAUGCGUAGAGAUCCGGAGGAACACCAGUGGCGAAGGCGACACGCUGGGCCAUACCUGACGCUAAAGCGCGACAGCAUGGGGAGCAAACGGG
rnacentral:rRNA from 1 species